UACGGAGGGGGCUAGCGUUAUUCGGAAUUACUGGGCGUAAAGCGCACGUAGGCGGCUUUGUAAGUCAGAGGUGAAAGCCUGGAGCUCAACUCCAGAACUGCCUUUGAGACUGCAUCGCUUGAAUCCAGGAGAGGUGAGUGGAAUUCCGAGUGUAGAGGUGAAAUUCGUAGAUAUUCGGAAGAACACCAGUGGCGAAGGCGGCUCACUGGACAGGUAUUGAUGCUGAGGUGCGAAAGCGUGGGGAGCAAACAGG
rnacentral:rRNA from 1 species